rnacentral:rRNA from 1 species
UCCAGACUCCUACGGGAGGCAGCAGUGGGGGAUAUUGCACAAUGGGGGAAACCCUGAUGCAGCAACGCCGCGUGAGUGAGGAAGUAUUUCGGUAUGUAAAGCUCUAUCAGCAGGGAAUAGAAAAGAAGGUACCUGAAAAAGAAGCCCCGGCUAACUACGUGCCAGCAGCCGCGGUAAUACGUAGGGGGCAAGCGUUAUCCGGAUUUACUGGGUGUAAAGGGAGCGUAGACGGAAAGGCAAGUCAGAAGUGAAAGCCCAAGGCUCAACCAUGGGACUGCUCUUGGAACUGCGCGGCUGGAGUGCAGGAGGGGCAGGCGGAAUUCCUGGUGUAGCGGUGAAAUGCGUAGAUAUCAGGAGGAACACCGGUGGCGAAGGCGGCCUGCUGGACUGCGACUGACGUUGAGGCCCGAAAGCGUGGGGAGCAAACAGGAUUAGAUACCCUCGUA